rnacentral:rRNA from 1 species
GAACGGGUGAGUAACACGUGAGCAACCUGCCCCAGGCUUUGGGAUAACCCCGGGAAACCGGGGCUAAUACCGAAUAUGACCUCCGAUCGCAUGGUUGGUGGUGGAAAGUUUUUCGGCUUGGGAUGGGCUCGCGGCCUAUCAGCUUGUUGGUGGGGUGAUGGCCUACCAAGGCGACGACGGGUAGCCGGCCUGAGAGGGCGACCGGCCACACUGGGACUGAGACACGGCCCAGACUCCUACGGGAGGCAGCAGUGGGGAAUAUUGCACAAUGGGCGGAAGCCUGAUGCAGCGACGCCGCGUGAGGGAUGACGGCCUUCGGGUUGUAAACCUCUUUCAGCAGGGACGAAGCGUAAGUGACGGUACCUGCAGAAGAAGCGCCGGCCAACUACGUGCCAGCAGCCGCGGUAAGACGUAGGGCGCGAGCGUUGUCCGGAUUUAUUGGGCGUAAAGAGCUCGUAGGCGGCUUGUCGCGUCGACUGUGAAAACCCGCAGCUCAACUGCGGGCCUGCAGUCGAUACGGGCAGGCUAGAGUUCGGUAGGGGAGACUGGAAUUCCUGGUGUAGCGGUGAAAUGCGCAGAUAUCAGGAGGAACACCGGUGGCGAAGGCGGGUCUCUGGGCCGAUACUGACGCUGAGGAGCG